rfam:Nicotiana attenuata strain TT chromosome 1, whole genome shotgun sequence.
UGAACAGAUUAUUGUAUUCGACUGUAUUCACGGCGUGAAACAGGGGAUUACACUGUUUUUAAACGGAAAGUGAAUCAAUUAACAUAAUAGACUCCU